GAGCGUGUGCACACCAACAGCGAAUGACGUCGGUUGGGUUGUACGCGGUACGCGGGGAUGCACGAACAUCGCGCGAGUCAGACGAGUGGAAAACUAAAUCACAUAACCUCGGGGCCGUUUUGCUGCCGCCACCGCCGUCGCCACCAUCGCCGCUCUUGCCACCGAACGCGCGCGGCUCCCUACUUCUCGACGCGCGCGGCAAGCGUGCGCGCUAGAAACGCGUAGCUUGCGCGCAUCCUCGCCGAAUGUAACCAGCGCACCGCGGCCACCCUCACCGAAAAACCUGUUCGCCACGACGAACACCGCCAGAACCUCUUGCUGCGAUGAUUACAAAAUCCACGGCGCCAUGAACCAACUUUAUAGCCAUUUAUUUAACUGAAAAUUGAAUUAAGCAAUGCAUUUGCUAAUAUAUACACCAAGGACGUGCCCAAAUUGUUUUCAAAUUGCAUUCGGGCGAUUAAAAGUUUCAACAUGAAGAAGGGAGUCUCCCAGCAUGCUCAUCUGUGUUUCUCAAAUGCUUUUGUCUGCUGGGGUAGGACGGCACGAGUCCUACGCGAGGCAGCGAUGGAUGAAUCGAAGGCGGAAUCGUGGGCAACGUCCUUAGACAUCGUGCGACGAAGGAACCGGGGUUAUAAAGGGAAUCGUGAACAUUUUUAUUCCGAACCUCUUGGGUGAGAUUGAAUCAAUUGAAGGUAUUUUACCAUUACGCUUUUAGUUGGCUGUAAAAAUCGAAUGCCAGAGCAAAACUAAUGACCUCUCGACGGCAUGCAUAUAAUCUGAAGCGGCGUGCCACGUCAACUUGCAGGCGCUUACUUGUUUUUGACAUCAUGAAGGUAUUCGCCUGUUUCCACGCCGCCUGAAAAAUCACUUACGAUGCGCUAACGUAUUAGCAUUCUAAUCGUCGGUUACAUCGUGCCACACAGAUUCAUUUAUCACGUUCGUGUGGUAGUUGUUUCGGCGCACGGGAUGGAUCUUUGUCCGCCGACGUCAGCUUAGUUUUCGCACAGCACCUUUUCCUCCUGGCUGUUUGUAAAGACGGUGCGACGUCCGUGUGUUGGGCGGACGCCUCGUGCUGGGAAAUCUACGAAUACGGUUAGGUAACAUUAUUGCCUUGUUCGCCUAUUCCCGACAGCCAGCCUAAUAGGUUACGUAUUUUAACAAGUUUCAUCAUUCAAGCUAUAAACCCCUCCUUCAUACCUGAAGCGAAUAAAUCAUUUUUUAUGUACUGAAGGCAUUGGCUUGCAGUCUACCUUCGUUCGAUAUCUACGCUUGAUUUAUGGAUAAUGUACGGCACUAGAAAAUCCUACAUUAUACUAUACUAGACUUUUUCAAAUUAUAUAUCGUGAAUAGAUUUAGUCCUGGCAUUUUAAAAACUAUUUUUAAUUUGUGACGAAACUCAAAUUCAAUAUCUGUGCAGGAUCCAUGUAGAAACAAAAAUAAAAGAAGACCUCUUGUUGGUA